rnacentral:rRNA from 1 species
GCGCGCAAUUACCCAAUCCUGACACAGGGAGGUAGUGACAAUAAAUAACAAUACGGGGCUCACAGAGUUUCGUAAUUGGAAUGAGUACAAUUUAAAAACCUUAACGAGGAACAAUUGGAGGGCAAGUCUGGUGCCAGCAGCCGCGGUAAUCCCAGCUCCAAUAGCGUAUAUUAAAGUUGUUGCAGUUAAAAAGCUCGUAGUUGGACCUCGGGGUGUGUGUGCUGGUCCGCCGAAAGGCGAGCACUGGUGCGUGCAUCCUUUCUGCCCGAGGGCUGGCCGGUCUUCCGGCCGGAACUUGGGAGAUUUACUGUGAAAAAAUUAGAGUGUUCAAAGCAGGCGUUUUGCUUGAAUACAUUAGCAUGGAAUAAUAGAAUAGGACUUUGGUUCUAUUUUGUUGGUUUCUAGGACCGAAGUAAUGAUUAAUAGGGAUAGUUGGGGGCAUUAGUAUUUAAUUGUCAGAGGUGAAAUUCUUGGAUUUAUGAAAGACUAACUUCUGCGAAAGCAUUUGCCAAGGAUGUUUUCAUUAAUCAAGAACGAAAGUUAAGGGAUCGAAGACGAUUAGAUACCGUCGUAGUCUUAACCAUAAACUAUGCCGACUAGGGAUUGGUGGAUGUUUCUUUGACUCCAUCAGCACCUUACGAGAAACCAAAGUUUU